UACGGGGGAUGCAAGCGUUAUCCGGAAUCAUUGGGCGUAAAGCGCCUGUAGGUUGUUUAAUAAGUCUGUUGUUAAAGACUAGGGCUUAACCCUAGAAAAGCAAUGGAAACUACUAGACUAGAGUAUGGCAGGGGUAGAGGGAAUUUCUAGUGUAGCGGUGAAAUGCGUAGAUAUUAGAAAGAACACCGGUGGCGAAAGCGCUCUACUGGACCAUUACUGACACUCAGAGGCGAAAGCUAGGGUAGCAAAAGGGAUUAGAUACCCCUGUAGUCCUAGCCGUAAACGAUGGAUACUACAUGUUGUGUUUAUUUCACAGUAUGGUAGCUAACGCGUUAAGUAUCCCGCCUGGG
rnacentral:rRNA from 1 species